CACGUAGGGCGCAAGCGUUUGUCCGGAAUUAUUGGGCGUAAAGAGCUCGUAGGCGGUCUGUUGCGUCCGCUGUGAAAACUCGGGGCUUAACCCCGAGCCUGCAGUGGAUACGGGCAGACUAGAGGUAGGUAGGGGAGAAUGGAAUUCCUGGUGUAGCGGUGAAAUGCGCAGAUAUCAGGAGGAACACCGGUGGCGAAGGCGGCAUCCUGGACCAUAACUGACGCUGAGGCGCGAAAGCAUGGGGAGCGAACAGG
rnacentral:rRNA from 1 species